GAUGAACGCUAGCUACAGGCUUAACACAUGCAAGUCGCGGGGCAGCAUUUUCUUAGCUUGCUAAGGAAGAUGGCGACCGGCGCACGGGUGAGUAACGCGUAUCCAACCUUCCCAUGUCCACGGGAUAGCCCGUCGAAAGGCGGAUUAAUACCGUAUGAGGUCACAUGCGGGCAUCUAAGUGUGACGAAAGGUUUGGCGGACAUGGAUGGGGAUGCGUCCGAUUAGCUAGUUGGCGGGGUAACGGCCCACCAAGGCGACGAUCGGUAGGGGUUCUGAGAGGAAGGUCCCCCCACAUUGGAACUGAGACACGGUCCAAAACUCCUACGGGAGGCAGCAGUGAGGAAUAUUGGUCAAUGGACGUAAGUCUGAACCAGCCAAGUAGCGUGCAGGAUGACGGCCCUAUGGGUUGUAAACUGCUUUUAUGCGGGGAUAAAGUGUGGGACGUGUCCCAUAUUGCAGGUACUGCAUGAAUAAGGACCGGCUAAUUCCGUGCCAGCAGCC
rnacentral:rRNA from 1 species